AUUGAACGCUGGCGGCAGGCUUAACACAUGCAAGUCGAGCGGUAACAGAGAGAAGCUUGCUUCUCUGCUGACGAGCGGCGGACGGGUGAGUAAUGCCUAGGAAUCUGCCUAGUAGUGGGGGAUAACUUGCCGAAAGGUAAGCUAAUACCGCAUACGUCCUACGGGAGAAAGGAGGGGACCUUCGGGCCUUUCGCUAUUAGAUGAGCCUAGGUCGGAUUAGUUAGUUGGUGAGGUAAUGGCUCACCAAGACCGCGAUCCGUAACUGGUCUGAGAGGAUGGUCAGUCACACUGGAACUGAGAAACGGUGCAGACUCCUACGGGAGGCAGCAGUGGGGAAUAUUGGACAAUGGGGGGAACCCUGAUCCAGCCAUGCCGCGUGUGUGAAGAAGGUCUUAGGAUUGUAAAGCACUUUAAGUUGGGAGGAAGAGCAGUUAACUAAUAUUUGACUGUUUUGACGUUACCGACAGAAUAAGCACCGGCUAACUUCGUGCCAGCCGCCGCCGUAA
rnacentral:rRNA from 1 species